ensembl:lncRNA
AGUCACAUUACUCAGACUCCAACAGUGAUACAUACAAGAGCAAAUGCACACCAGCUUGUGUUGCGGCCAUGAAAAAGGAUCUUCUUUGGUUGAUUCUCUUUUGGAGGACGAGAAGAGCAUUCCCUUAACAUCUCUGAGGUUAUCUAUUCCAUUUACAUGCCUAACACUGAGAGUCCAGGAGAACUGGAGAAGUGGAUCCCAACUUUUUUGAUGCAGGUGAAUCAGCUUCAGUAUCUAAGCAUGUACAAUGCAGAAGGAUGGAGGUGUGCUGGGUGUCAUCCUAGUACACAUCAACAGGAAAUGAGUUUGAUUCAGCUGACAACACCGACAGCUAAUGUCUUUUGAGAUAUGUUAUUUAUCCGAGACAUCUGUUUGAAGAUAACAAAUAUGACACAGAUUAUGGCAGACCCAAGCCCUUCUGAAGUUACUGGACAUUAAGUGAAAUGAUUUAGCCCAAGGGAAUUAGUUACCUGCAUUUGAACAAAUGAAUUAAGAUGUGUUCAGUACAACCUGUGAGUGCUGAAUGUGAUUGACUUGAUGAUAAAAUAUAUCCUUCAGCUUAUCUGCAGAAAAGCUGCAGAUCUCUGUCAAUAUAAUCCUAGCUCCUGAUUCACUAUGAGUCUAUAGAUGUCUAUAUGAGCUCUUUUUCAAGUGCUUAACUAUUCAGCCAAUUAGAUUCAACCCAGGACAUUACUUUAAAAUAUAGUCACAGAUAUUGGCAUUUCAGAGGAAUAUGUUCUCAUUGCAUGUUAGAAUUGAGACAAAAGAUGGUCAGUCACCUAAUGAGAUCUUUAAAAGUCUGUGUAAACAAUGCAAAAGAGUAGGAUCAAAUCACUUCCACUAGUGGUUUUUGGGUUUUAAUGACAUAUCAGGGUUAAAAUAAAACUUGGAGCAAGAGUCCCUUGUGUCUCCAUCCCUAACACCCACUCCAGCCCUUGAGUUACUUAAUUCCAUUCCCAGAGAGCAAUAAAAAUUGAAAAAAAAAUACAAUCUGUUAGGAAAAAGAAGGAAAAAGAAAAGCUUUUUUCUGCCUUCUCUUGUUCUCUAUAAAAGAAUGAACAUUAGUUCACGAUCUUAAAUAUCUGUCACCACAUCAUCUAUCUUGCUUGAGUAUCAAGACACGGUUAGUGGGUAAUAAAUGCCCUCUAACUGAAAGAGAAGGAAUACCCCAUGUACCAAACUGUCAGAGAAUUUUCUGCUUCAUGCAACAUUUUAUUAUGUUAAGUAAGUCUAUAUAGUUUUCACCAGAGGUUGUUUGUUUAACCUCUGCCUUAUGAUAUAUUUGUCAACUCGAUUACCUUUUCCAUGAAUGCUGUUUCAGCCAAAAAACAUUAAAAAUGGUAUAAAUC